GCAAUGGUGGUUCAGCGGUAGAACUCUCACCUUUGACGGGGAAGACCCAGGGUCAAUUCCUGGCCAGUGCA
rnacentral:tRNA from 1 species